rnacentral:rRNA from 1 species
UACGUAGGGUGCAAGCGUUGUCCGGAAUUAUUGGGCGUAAAGAGCUCGUAGGCGGUCUGUCACGUCGGCUGUGAAAUCCCGAGGCUCAACCUCGGGUCUGCAGUCGAUACGGGCAAACUAGAGUAUUGCAGGGGAGACUGGAAUUCCUGGUGUAGCGGUGAAAUGCGCGAUAUCAGGAGGAACACCGGUGGCGAAGGCGGGUCUCUGGGCAAUAACUGACGCUGAGGAGCGAAAGCGUGGGGAGCGAACAGG